GGAGCCAUAGGGAGGGAUUCCAAUCCAGCCUCAGGAAAAGAAACCUGCCAAAGAGUCUUGGCGAUUGGCGACCAUCCUAAUGACUUA
rnacentral:pre_miRNA from 1 species